UCGGGAAUUUUGGGCAAUGGGCGAAAGCCUGACCCAGCAACGCCGCGUGAAGGAUGAAGUAUUUCGGUAUGUAAACUUCGAAAGAAUAGGAAGAAUAAAUGACGGUACUAUUUAUAAGGUCCGGCUAACUACGUGCCAGCAGCCGCGGUAAUACGUAGGGACCAAGCGUUGUUCGGAUUUACUGGGCGUAAAGGGCGCGUAGGCGGCAAUUCAAGUCAUCUGUGAAAUCUCCGGGCUUAACUCGGAACGGUCAGAUGAUACUGCUUUGCUAGAGUGCAGAAGGGGCAAUCGGAAUUCUUGGUGUAGCGGUGAAAUGCGUAGAUAUCAAGAGGAACACCUGAGGUGAAGACGGGUUGCUGGGCUGACACUGACGCUGAGGCGCGAAAGCCAGGGGAGCAAACGGGAUUAGAUACCAAGUAGUCCCUGAGCGGGCUGGCAAGGCGCAU
rnacentral:rRNA from 1 species